AUUGAACGCUGGCGGCAGGCUUAACACAUGCAAGUCGAGCGAGCGGCGGACGGGUGUGUAAUGUCUGGGAAACUGCCUGAUGGAGGGGGAUAACUACUGGAAACGGUAGCUAAUACCGCAUACCAUCAUUUGUGCCCAGAUGGGAUUCGCUUGUAGGUGGGGUAAUGGCUCACCUUGGCGACGCUCCCUAGCUGGUCGGAGAGGAUGACCGGCCACACUGGAACUGAGACACGGUCCAGACUCCUACGGGAGGCAGCAGGGGGGAAUAUUGCACAAGGGGCGCAAGCCUGAUGCAGCCAUGCCGCGUGUGUGAAGAAGGCCUUCGGGUUGUAAAGCACUUUCAGCGAGGAGGCGUUACUCGCAGAAGAAGCACCGGCUAACUCCGUGCCAGCCGCCGCGGUAAUUC
rnacentral:rRNA from 1 species